rnacentral:rRNA from 1 species
UUUAAGUUGUUGCAGUUAAAAAGCUCGUAGUUGGAUUUCGGUUGAGAGCGGCCGGUCCGCCGUUUGGUGUGCACUGGCUGGUCUCAACUUCCUGCGGAGGACGCGCUCUGGGCUUAACGGUCUGGACGUGGAGUCCGCGUGGUUACUUUGAAAAAAUUGGAGUGUUCAAAGCGGGCUUACGCUUGAAUAUUUCAGCAUGGAAUAACACUAUAGGACUCCUGUCCUAUUUCGUUGGUCUCGGGACGGGAGUAAUGAUUAAGAGGAACAGUUGGGGGCAUUCGUAUUUCAUUGUCAGAGGUGAAAUUCUUGGAUUUAUGAAAGACGAACUUCUGCGAAAGCAUUUGCCAAGGAUGUUUUCAUUAAUCAAGAACGAAAGUUGGGGGCUCGAAGAUGAUUAGAUACCAUCCUAGUCUCAACCAUAAACGAUGCCGACUAGGGAUUGGCGGAUGUUAAUUGAUGACUCCGCCAGCACCUUAUGAGAAAUCAAAGUUUUUGGGUUCCGGGGGGAGUAUGGUCGCAAGGCUGAAACUUAAAGGAAUUGACGGAAG